AAAUUGAAGAGUUUGAUCAUGGCUCAGAUUGAACGCUGGCGGCAGGCCUAACACAUGCAAGUCGAACGGUAACAGGAAACAGCUUGCUGUUUCGCUGACGAGUGGCGGACGGGUGAGUAAUGUCUGGGAAACUGCCUGAUGGAGGGGGAUAACUACUGGAAACGGUAGCUAAUACCGCAUAACGUCGCAAGACCAAAGAGGGGGACCUUCGGGCCUCUUGCCAUCGGAUGUGCCCAGAUGGGAUUAGCUUGUUGGUGGGGUAACGGCUCACCAAGGCGACGAUCCCUAGCUGGUCUGAGAGGAUGACCAGCCACACUGGAACUGAGACACGGUCCAGACUCCUACGGGAGGCAGCAGUGGGGAAUAUUGCACAAUGGGCGCAAGCCUGAUGCAGCCAUGCCGCGUGUAUGAAGAAGGCCUUCGGGUUGUAAAGUACUUUCAGCGGGGAGGAAGGG
rnacentral:rRNA from 1 species